rnacentral:lncRNA from 1 species
CUAACACAUCACAUCAUUUAUAUAUAUAGUGACCAACAUAAGACUACGAUAUCAAUAAAACAAAUUUCCAGUUAAAUUUCAUGAUUGGUUUGUUCGAAUAAAUAUUCUGCAGCCUAAUUGCUGCCAUCAUGCAUGCCGUGUGCAUUAUUGUUUUUCCCGGUUGGGAGCUAUACGCGAAUGAUGAGGUAUUUAAAAAAUAUAAACAUACCAAAAGCGAAGCGAUGAUGUUCGGCGAUGAAACGACAGUAGCCUAAAGGAGUAUUUUCUUCGUCAUCAUCGUUGUUAUCAUCAUGUAUGUUGCUAUCAGCUGCUUUACUGCUCUCCUGGCUUUCCUCGGCCGUCUCGGCUUCGUCAUUUUUAUCACUCUCAUAAAUUUCAUUCUCCUCAUCAUUUAUAUCAAUAACUGCACCAUUUUCGGUUUCAUGUGGCGCUACGACGUUAGUUUUGCCAAGUUCAAUGUCUCCUCUCAUCUUGAGGCUUGUGUGGCUUUGUAGGUAAUGUUGCUAGUGACUUGUA